rfam:Ceraceosorus bombacis genome assembly, contig: Scaffold_272
GAACUCUUGGCGCAAUGGUAGCGCAUCUGAUUCCAGUGUUUGCGGACUUUUGCCCGAAGGCUCCAGAAGGUUGAGCGUUCGAUUCGCUCAGAGUUCA